rnacentral:rRNA from 1 species
UACGUAGGGGGCAAGCGUUGUCCGGAAUCAUUGGGCGUAAAGCGCGUGUAGGCGGUUCGGUAAGUCUGCUGUGAAAGUCCAGGGCUCAACCCUGGGAUGCCGGUGGAUACUGUCGGACUAGAGUACGGAAGAGGCGAGUGGAAUUCCCGGUGUAGCGGUGAAAUGCGCAGAUAUCGGGAAGAACACCCGUGGCGAAGGCGGCUCUCUGGGACGGUACUGACGCUGAGACGCGAAAGCGUGGGGAGCGAACAGG